AUUUGAAGCAUGGGUGCUAUGCUCGCUAGUAGGAUCUGUGUUAUUUGCUGAGCCUGUUCCUUGAGCAUGAAUAGAAAUACAGCAACAGCAGAAGGCAACAGUCACACAGCAGCUUUUGUAACAACUGAAGUAGUUACCAUGUAAUAGAGAAAAAAUCAAGUGAGGCACUGUGACGCUUUUAGUGACCAUGUGUGAUGAUCUGAAGGGAUGGAACUAGAAACUGUCAGGGGACUGGAGCAUAAAAGGUUGUGUGCAGUGGUUGGAGCCAGAGCCAAUGGUCAGAGUAAAUGUCAGGAAUUGGAGCCCAGGAUCAGAACUGGAGUCAGAGGCUAGAAACAGAAACCAAGGGUCAGAACUGGGUUUCCUGAACUUGGGCCAGGGCAGGAGUUGGGCUGUGAAAAAAAGCAGGAACAAGACUGGGAACAAGUAGGUGCAGAAGCUAUUGCAUCCAGGAGUGAAUACUUUGAGCAGCCCAUCUGCUGACUCUUCCAAUCAAACAGAGGGAGUGAUCCAUCAGACAGUCCAGCUGAUGCGGCCCAGCUAUGCUCCCUAGGCUGUCAGGACCCUGCAGCUGUGCCUCCUUGGAUCUCCUAUUCCUGACAGAACCCAAGUCUGCAGGGAGUGGAACUGCCAACACCUCCAUGCUGCUACUGCGUAAUCACAGUAGGCCUGCAGACAUUACCAUGCUGACCGUGUGGAGAUGAACACCACAGGAUGUACCACCUCAGAAGGCUGGACUGACAGUUUCCCGCAUCCAGAUGCUCAGUUAAAGCUCAGCAGGAGUUCCAGGAAAUGUAUGUGCAACAAGGUGGAUUCCCCAGCCAGCUGUAGUGAUGGACCUGUAUACUGGCUCGCUCUCAGACUCCUGACUCCGGCUUGGACCCUUGGCUUCUGCCCUUGAACUCCAACACCAAUCCUCACCCCUGGCUUCUGUACUUGGACUUUGACCUUUGUUUUGGUGUUGAGACUCUGGCUUUUGACCUCUGGUUUUGGUCCUUGGACUCUGGCUAUGACCCCAGCUUUGACUCUUGAAUGCUGGCUCUGUUCCUGCCCUUUGGAAUUUAUACUAGGACCCUGAACCCAGUCCCAAACUCAGGUUACCGCUUUUAGACUCCAACCCAAGUUUUGACUCCUGAUCUUGACACUUCAGUUCUGACACCUGACUGCCCAAGCCGCAGGUGACAUGAUAAGUGUAGUUUCUAGAGGUCCACGGAGCUCUCACAGAGAGAACACCUGAUAAACCAAAACCAUUGACUAUAGUAGUACUAAAUCAAUAAUGAAUUUUCAGUUCACUGGCAAUUUCAAGAAAUAGUAUUUUUUUAAAGGAUCAUGAAAAUGUUAAGGAUUUUUGGAAAGUUGAAAAGAAAAUUUGUUUUGUGUUGAAUGGAACAUUUCAUU